GACGAACGCUGGCGGCGUGCUUAACACAUGCAAGUCGAACGGUAAGGCCCUUCGGGGUACACGAGUGGCGAACGGGUGAGUAACACGUGGGUGAUCUGCCCUGCACUUCGGGAUAAGCCUGGGAAACUGGGUCUAAUACCGGAUAGGACCCUGGGAUGCAUGUCCUGGGGUGGAAAGCUUUUGCGGGGUGGGAUGGGCCCGCGGCCUAUCAGCUUGUUGGUGGGGUGAUGGCCUACCAAGGCGACGACGGGUAGCCGGCCUGAGAGGGUGACCGGCCACACUGGGACUGAGAUACGGCCCAGACUCCUACGGGAGGCAGCAGUGGGGAAUAUUGCACAAUGGGCGCAAGCCUGAUGCAGCGACGCUGCGUGAGGGAUGACGGCCUUCGGGCUGUAAACCUCUUUCAGCACCGACGAAGCGCAAGUGACGGUAGGUGCAGAAGAAGGACCGGCCAACUACGUGCCAGCCGCCGCCGUAA
rnacentral:rRNA from 1 species